UCCUUAUAAUUUAUGGAGCUUUUUAUGUUUACAAAAAUAAAUAAAACCAGUGUAGUUACUCGCGCGAUGCAGCGCGUAGACACUAUCAAAACAAUCAUUAUUUCUAUAAACUAAUUAAUAUUAGUUUAAAUUGAAACUAAUAUUAAAUAAAAUUUUUUUUACAAACAAAAUUUUCAUUCUCUUUAUUAAAUAAAAACUAUUAAAUUAAAAUUGUAACCAUUAAAUAAAAAACUAUUAAAGAUGACAUUUUCAUACUUAUUAACUCAACAAUCUAUAUAAUCAAACUCAAUAGUUUAGUGAAAAAAAUAAUAAGAUUAUAAGAAAUGACAAAUACAAAAUUUACAAUUUGAUUACACAUAACAACUCAAAUAAAAAAAAUUGUUACAAGUUCAAGCGAGUGUUAAUUGAAAAUUAAAUAAAGUUGAGGGCCUAUUUCAAAUGGCCUAUACAGGAUCUCUCAGUAAAUAUUUUUACCAAUCCUUUUUUAAUAUUAAAAAAAAAAACAAA
rnacentral:lncRNA from 1 species